AGCAGCCGCGGUAAUUCCAGCUCCAAUAGCGUAUAUUAAAGUUGUUGCAGUUAAAAAGCUCGUAGUUGAAUUUCGGAAUCAGUACGCCGGUCGUGCCUUAGGUAUGCACUGGUGUCACUGGUUUCUCCCUUCUGACGAACCGUCAUGCCAUUAAUUUAGUGUGGCGGGAAAUCAGGACCGUUACUUUGAAAAAUUAGAGUGUUUAAAGCAGGCUCACGCUUGAAUACAUUAGCAUGGAAUAAUGAAAUAGGACGUUGAUCUUAUUUUGUUGGUUUCUAGGAUUGACGUAAUGAUUAAUAGGGAUAGUUGGGGGCAUUAGUAUUCAAUUGUCAGAGGUGAAAUUCUUGGAUUUAUUGAAGACUAACUACUGCGAAAGCAUUUGCCAAGGAUGUUUUCAUUAAUCGAGAAUGAAAGUUAGGGGAUCGAAGACGAUCAGAUACCGUCGUAGUC
rnacentral:rRNA from 1 species